AUCCGUACACCGAGCCCGGCCGGGCUAGUGUGUGUGUGCGUGGCGCUAUCCGCACAGCAGUUCGGCAGUUCGGAAGCAGCCACAGAGAAAGCGCCCGCACACGCACACAGCCAAAGAAGGCCCGUUCGCUCAACCGUCGGGCAACCGUCAAAAUCGCCCCCGCUCCCUCCCUGCGGACCCAACGAACACGAAGCGAGAAGUGUCACUUUCGACGAACGGUGCCCAUUUCGCAGUAAUCACCUCUUCCGUGCGGGGACGGACAUAAUUUUUGGAGGCGAUUUUCCAGAAGUUGCAGAAUUCGGUCCUUUGACCGUGCGCGUUUUCGCACACGCCGUGUGAGUUAGUGAGUUGGGCUACCGUUACGGCGGACUGUGAAGGUGCGAAUUUUCUAGUAAAGCACAGCCAGUAAAAAAUAGAAGGUUCGUUCGGGGUGCACGGGAACACGGGAUCCCCCCCCCCCCCCCACUUCCCGUGGGCAGCCUGCCACGGUGUGCCAGUCGCAGCACCAUCGGAAGCCGUCGCUUUUUUGUUCGUUGUUCGCUCGCUUUUUUUUUUUGGUUCGGAGCCGAAGCACCACCAGGGACGCUCCAGCGGGCGCACAAAGUCCAGCGCCCUCGCCACAGCCUGUGCCUGUGAUAAACUUGCUCUGCCCGUCAUCGUCCCCCUCCCCCCUCCACCUGCCAGUGGUGGGCUUUGGUAGUCCCGCACAAAAAAAAACGGUGCGUCCGCGAGCGCACUCCCGUGUGUGUGCGUGCGUGUGUGCCUGUGGGCAGGUUUGUGUGCGUCCGUGUAGAGGUGUGAUACGUGUACGUGAGCGUGUGUGUGUGUUGACGGAGGAACCAGCAGAAGCAGGAAAGCGAAAAAGAAACCUGAACAUUUGUGUGUGUUUUUUUGUUGUUGUCGUUGCUUCCAUCAUCGACGCUGAUUCAUCUGUUUCCUAACCUGUUCGAUCCCGUUGCGCUUCCGGACGGAGCCAAGCGGCCCGCGUGUGUGUGUGCGCGUCUCUGUGUGCAUCUCUGUGUACGAUUGUGUGUGCGUGCGGCGGGGGCGCUUUGCUAGGCGGACGGACCACGGAGCGAGCGAGUGAGUGAGAGGGGAGCGCGAGUAGGACGCAGGACGAAAACCCCUUUAUUUCUUCUCGGGGACAGGCGCGUACCCCCCACACACACACACACACAGGAUGCAUCGACUGCCGCUGUACAUGUCCGCUGUUGCAUCGACGCGUGCACAUUUGAUGCGUUGGAACUAGUACGCGCGCUGGAAAGCGAUAGAGUGAGACAGGAGUGUGUGUGUGUGUGAGUGAGAGAGUGUGUGCGAAAGGUAGCGAAAAUCGCGACCCCGAGACGGGCGAGAGUGAAAGAGAGGGCAGGAGCGUAACACUUUCGGGUUUUGUGAAUUCCUGGCUCGCUUGGAGAACGGUAAAAAAGGGGUCGCAAAAACUACUCCCCCCCUCCCCACCUACAGACAAAAGAGAGAGUGUGAAGGGGGCAGCAUCAAGUCCCCUACCCUCCCCCCCCCCCCACCAACCAUCAAACGCGGAAAGAUUUUGCUGUGUUGCCAAAGCUGUUGUGUUUGGUGAUGACAGCAGGGCCAGCAGCAGCAGCAGCAGCAGCAGCAUCUCCGAUCCACUGACAGUUGUGCGUUGUUAAAGGAAGGCGAACAAGGGCGAAGCUGCGAAACCAGAAGAAGAACAAAAGAAAAGAAAAGAAGAAGAAAA